CGCCCGGCCCGGCCCACUGAGUCCCGGGGCUGCUCGGAGCCCCGCCCCUGAGACAGCGGCACCGCCGGCCGCUAGGGGGCAGCAACUCAGGACAGGGCUGUUGCAGACAAGGAGGAGCCUAACAGUACCACAGCUUCCUCCAUGCAAAUGAAUGUUAUGAUAAAGAAAAGGCACUCCUCUGGCAAGAGCCUAUUCAUCAAUUGAUAAGUAUCAGCCUGGAAGUACUGCAGGUGAAUGUUAUGGUUAAGGGAAACCACUCCUCUGGCAAGAGCACAUUCAUCAUG